AUACUCAUAUCUUAUUUGAGGUAUGUAUACUCAUAUCUUAUUUGAGGUAUGUAUACACAUAUUUUUUUUAUAGGUUUGUAUACACAUAUCUUAUUAGAGGUAUGUAUACACAUAUUUUUUUUUAUAGGUUUGUAUACCCAUAUCUUAUUAGAGGUAUGUAUACACAUAUGUUGUUAGAGGUAUGUAUACACAUAUGUUGUUAGAGGUAUGUAUACACAUAUGUUGUUAGAAAUAUGUAUACACAUAUGUUGUUAGAUGUAUGUAUACACAUAUCUUAUUAGAGGUAUGUAUACACAUAUGCAUAUUUUACAAUUAAGUAAAAUAUGUCAUAUGACUUUUAAUUUCAGACUUAAUAAAUUUUUCAGAUUUACAAAUUGAACAAGAUUCAAAAGGAUUUAACUUUUAUCUAUCAUAUAGUUAUAGUUAAUUCUUUUGAAGAUUGAGUAUUCAGAAUGUAUAACAUUUUUUUGUUAUAAGAAGAAAGGAUUAUUUUUAUUAUCCAUGUGUAAGUUUAUGUAAAUUGAAUAAAUUUUUACUUGUUAUUAUUAGAAAAAAAUAAAAAGUAAAAAGUAAAAAAUAAAAAAAAAAAAGUAAAAAGUAAAAAAAAAAAAGUAAAAAGUAAAAAAAAAAAGUAAAAAGUAAAAAGUAAAAAAGUAAAAAGUAAAAAAGUAAAAAGUAAAAAGUAAAAAAGUAAAAAAAAAAAAAGUAAAAAAAAAAAAUUAAAAAAAAAAAAAGAAAAAAAAAAAAAAAAAAAAAAAAAAAAAAAAAAAAAAAAAAAAGUAAAAAAAAAAAAAGUAAAAAAAAAAAAAGUAAAAAAAAAAAAAGUAAAAAGUAAAAAGUAAAAAAAAAUAAAAAAAAAAAGUAAAAAAAAAAAAAAAAAAAAGUAAAAAAAAAGUAAAAAAAAAAAAAAAAAAAAGUAAAAAAAAAAAAAAAAAAAAAAAAAAAAAAAAAAAAAAAAAAGUAAAAAAAAAAACCUAUUUAUAUAUAUACUUAUUUUUUAUUUUAUGCAUAUACGCAUUCAUAUAC